rnacentral:tRNA from 1 species
GAAGGUAUAGCUGAGAGGCAAAAGUAGCGGGCGUUUGCCCCGUAGACGUAGGUUCGACUCCUACUGCCUUCA